GUGUUUCCCCCACAAAACGCUCUUUCACGCUCACCUUCUCUUAUAGAAGCUUUGUUUAGAAGAAGGUGCUUUUUUGGCUGACCGCCUGCCCUGCCCCCUCCCCCUGCAGCCUGAGUCAGAGGCUGGGGCUUCCUCCUGGGGGCUUUCUCAGAACCCGGUGACACUUGCAGCUGGCACUGCUUGCAUUUUACUUCAUUGUCAGUCUGGCCCACUGGACUCCAAGUUUCUUGAGGGAAAAUACUGUGCCUUGCUUGUUUCUGUAUUCUUAGCAUCUAGCCACUAUGAUAUACAGUAGGCACAUCAUAAAUGUCACCUGAAACUGGUCCAUGGGGCAGGCCAGAGUCAUCAUAGGAACUUGGAACCGGAGAAGUGGCUCUUGAGUUUCCAGAUGAGUUGAGCCCCUGGGGUGUGAUGACCCCUCAGUGCUAGACUGUAAUGCUCAAGGAGGAGCCUGAGUCGAGACCUCAAGCUUGUACAUGACGAGUAGCUAAAACCCGGCUCCCAGAAUAAAGUAAGGGGCUCCCUGGAACACAGGAAUAAGAGAAUUGGAAAACAUUUUUAAUGGGUCUGCUUAAAAGUCGAACUCUGUAAAGGAAGUGGCUGAAUGUGUAACGAAAGGACACAAAAUUACAGAAAAAAACCCAAGGAGGCUGAAAAGGCACCAGAUACAAAUGCGACCAUCACGACAGAGUGCCCUGACAAGUCACCCGUCAGGCCAAACACGGAGGAGAAAAUCAGGGAGGCGAAGGGGCAUUUGAGAACUUGACGUGGACUGUGACACGGAGGUGGACUGGAAAUACAGGCAAGAGGUCAAAAGAAACAGAGAGGUCUUAGUGCAUUUUCUGCUGCUGUAACAAAAUAGCAGAGACUGGGGUAUUCUCAGUUUCUAUAAGGAAAAUGCUAUUUUCUCACAACUCUGGAGGCUGGGAACUCCAGGAUAGAGGGGCCAAAUCAGUGAGGGCUUCUUGGUGCAUCAUAACAUGGCAGAAGGCGUCCAGUGGAAAGGGGGCACUCAUGCAUGUGGUGGGGGGUGGGGUGGGGGAGAAUUGGGCCAAACUGGCUCUUUUAAUCAGCAACCCCACUCCCUUGCAGACAGCAUUAACCAACCCAUUCACGAGGACUCAGAUCUAGUCAUCGCUCAAAGGUCUCACUUCUCUAUACUGUCCCAAUGGCAAAUUCCAUUGUGAGUUUUGGAAGAGAUGUUCAAGUCCUAGCAGAGGAAAGAAUGGAAAGCUUAGCGUACUUAUGAGAAGAUCCCAGUUAAGAGAAUGGGGCAGAGACCUUAUGCUAACAGAAAAUGGAUAGAGAAGUUUCCAUAAGAAACCCUGCCUGAACCCUCCUUUUACAUCCAUGGAACUGUGCUUCUCAAUCAGCCAGGUAAAUGUCACUGCUGGUAGCAUUACUACAACCUCUUCAUUAGAGAUGGGGUCUCAUAACUAGAGCUAGCUGCCUCCUGCGAUCCUCUCUGCUCUGAGCUCUGCAUCUUUUCUGAGGAGACCAGAGACCUCUUCCCCAACAUGCCAUCGUACACCACCAUUCCCAGGGACAGCGUCCCCCAACACAGAGUUCUGUUCUGUAAGCAGAACUCUCCUCCCCAGGCAGAGUCAGCUUGGUUUCUUUGUAUGAAGUAGCUAAUGAUUAUCCUCCAUCUAACAGACAGCCAGCAUGGGAGAGAUGGAGUGGACAGAUGGACGACAGCCAGACCACGCCAAAGCCAGCACUCUGUGGCAGUCAAUCCAAGAAGCCAAGCCACCGUCUGCAGCAAUCAGCCCAGGAGGCCACCCUGUAGCCAUCAACCCCACAUGGCUGGGACUUGAUCGAUACCUGGCGGUUACUGUCCCCAGGUUUUGUCCCGGCUUCCGGUUUAGGACCAACCAGAGGAAGCUAAAUGUGCUCUCAAAUGCAGCACACAAGAUGCCUGCCUCCAGUUGGCUGCCUCAGCUUCCCAGGCCCAUGGCCCCCGGUCAGGGCUCAGGUGAAGCCACCCUUGCCCACUCCAAGCCGUCCCCUGCCUGCCUUGGAGCCUCUGCUGGAACACAACUCCCUUGCUACCGCGAGCUCUCGGGAAACAGCAUUUGCUUUUCCCACCUGGGUGGGCUGUUUUUGUUUUCAUUUCCUACACUUGCAGGCCUGGGAGCUGCUGGAAGACCUUAGCCAGAGCCCGGCUCAGUAAUCCUGGACAUAUAACUCUUCAGGCCAGCCCAGGACCACUGUCACCCUGUUCGUUUACCCUUAUCUCCCUUUCCACUCGUUUGCCAGAGAGAGGUGAAGGAAGGUAAAAGGAGCAAGCCAAGGAGGGACUGGGAUUGUAGCCAAAUAGCUGAGACCAGGUCAUUUAUAAACAACGGAGGUUUAUUGCUCACAGUUCUGCAGGCUGAGGUCAAGGUGCCUGCAGGUUCUGUGUCUGGUGAGGGCUGCACAGAUGGCACCCUGUUGCUGUGUCUUCACCUGGCCGGGGGGCUCACUCAAGCCCGAUCUGUAGGGGCGCUGAUCCCGU
rnacentral:lncRNA from 1 species